CAGUCGCCACGGUAAAACGAAGGGUGCAAGCGUUAAUCGGAAUUACUGGGCGUAAAGCGUGUGUAGGCGGUGAGUUAAGUCUGCUGUGAAAUCCCCGGACUCAACCUGGGAAUGGCAGUGGAUACUGGCUCGCUAGAGUGUGUCAGAGGAUGGUGGAAUUCCCGGUGUGGCGGUGAAAUGCGUAGAGAUCGGGAGGAACAUCAGCGGCGAAGGCGGCCAUCUGGGACAACACUGACGCUGAGGCACGAAAGCGUGGGGAGCAAACAGGAUUAGAUACCCCCGUAGUCCCUGUCUCUUAUAC
rnacentral:rRNA from 1 species